rnacentral:rRNA from 1 species
UACGUAGGGUGCAAGCGUUGUUCGGAAUUACUGGGCGUAAAGAGAGCGUAGGUGGAAUCAUAAGUUAGGAGUUUAACCUAUGGGCUUAACCCAUAGUCUGCUUUUAAUACUGUGGUUCUUGAGUAUGGGAGAGGGUGAUGGAAUUCCAGGUGUAGCGGUGGAAUGCGUAGAUAUCUGGAAGAACACCAGUAGCGAAGGCGGUCGCCUGGCCCAAUACUGACACUGAGGCUCGAAAGCUAGGGGAGCAAACAGG